UGUUAACUUGUAGCUGCCUCUGUGAAAGCAAGGGAACCUGAAAGGGUCUUCCUGACCUUCUUUAAGAAAGCCACAGACCCCUUUUCCAUCUUCAUCACAGGCAUAUCACACCAAUCUCGCUGACUUUUGUGGAAGCUGGUAAAGGCACACAUGCACUCCACUGUCCGAAAUAAAAGUUUCUUCUUCAACAUCUGUGAUUCUCCUGAAUUGCACCUGAUCUUUCUGCAUGAAGUGUCUGUCCUCUCCUGAUGGACAGCUCUGGAAUUUCUGUUGUGCUUCAGUGAACACCCCUUCACACCCCCCACAUUCACACACUCAAGCUUUCUGUCUCUCAGUUCUCUGCCUUCUCUCUCAGCCCACUCAAGAGGCAGAGCAGCUACAGAAGGGAGGAGGUAAACUUAGACCUUCAUUUUGCUCCUGAAGAAAGUCCCCACUUAGCUGCAGGACAUCUGACUUUUAAACAUCUCUCUCUGUGGUUUAGGGUUUUUGGUGACUAACAACAUAUUGAGAGAUGUAUAUCUGUAGUUGUAAUUGUAGGUUUUGGCCCCCUUGCAAGCUCUAAAAGAGGCCUGGUCUAAAACUGUUGGACGCAUGCCACUGAAAUCAGAAGCAACAUGUUAAAGCACCUAAUUCCUGGAGUCUUAUGAUUAUCACGUCUAUGCAACCCCUCCUUUCAGUGGUAAAAUCUUGAGAGCCUGUGUUUGUUCAGCUUCAUUCAUAGAAACUCAAAAAAAUGAGAAUAUGAACAUAAAGAAAUCAGCUUUUUUAUUAUUAUUUUCAUUUUUUAUAAGCCAUGUUCUCUAGGUCAGCCUUUUGAUUUUGACUUUCAGAAAGGCAUAAGAA